GUCAUAACGUCAUACGUUGUUUACGACCGGCAGUCAAACAACCCUUUAUGUCCAUAGCUUUAUGUGUUUACAUAUUUAAAGUUACAUCAUAGUAACAGUAUCACUGAGCGUAUGUGGGAACCAAAAUGAAAUAAAAACAGCCAUGUUCUCUUCAGUAAUGCCAUAGAAGAAUGAGACAUUACUGAGUCUCCUCCACCAAGGAGGAGAAGUCUCCACAAAAAUGGCAACGGAACUUCACGAGACGAUAUUCAUGGCCAAGCAGGAGCGCCACAAAAACUUGUUUUUAAACUACAGAAACCUGAAUAUUUUCCCUGUGGAGUUGCUAAAAGAUGAAGGUCUGCAGUUCCUGGAAAGACUCUACAUGAAGAGGAAUUCACUCACUACACUGCCUGACAAUCUUGCUCAGAAGCUCCCGAAUCUAAUUGAACUGUAUUUGCACUCAAACAACAUAGUCAUUAUUCCUGAAGCCAUUGGAAACCUGGCCAGGCUUCAAUCGUUAGACCUGAGCAAUAAUGCCCUCCAGUUCCUCUGUCCAGAGAUUGGCCGACUGAGGUCACUGCGGCACCUGAGACUGUCCAACAACCAGCUGAAAUGUCUUCCUCCAGAGAUUGGUGAUCUACAGGAGCUGGAGACUCUGGAUGUGUCGAUGAACCAGCUGAUGUCUCUGCCUUAUCGACUUCAUCGCUGUCUGUCCCUGCAGAAUCUGACAGCGGACCACAACCUGCUGAGCCACGUCCCCCGUCAGCUCUGCUGGCUCCACCGCCUCAACCAGCUCUCCAUGGCGGCCAACCAGCUGACCUUUCUGCCGCUCGAUCUGGGCAGGUCACGAGAGCUGCAGUUUGUGUUUGUGGACAACAACGUGAACCUAAAAGGCCUCCCCUCCUACUUGUAUAACAAGGUCAUCGGCUGCAGCGGGUGUGGUGUGUCGUCACGUGUGUUGGAGAGUGACAGGGGCGAGGCACUGAGUCAGGCUCUGGUCGGGUUGCCACCUGAAGUGAAAGUGGUCGGCUCAGAGGCGGAUAGCGUGGUUCCACUGGAGGAGCUUGCCAUGAGGACUCUGCACCGCAUCUACCACCACUGCCCCACAGACCUGAAUCUGCUGCCUCCCAUCACCCUCCCGAAGAGUCUGCUGGACCUGCUGCAGUUCCCGCUGGGCCACUGUCAUCGCUGCAGCCAAGCCAUGUUCACCACCAUGUACCCCAAACUCUUUCCCCUUCGUGACACCGCCCUGGCAGGAGUGCACCGCAGGACGACUGUAAGUUUUGUGGCCUAUUGCUGCUCCAGUCACUGCCUCCGGACUUUUGACCUCCAGGGCUGACGCGUCUUUCUGCUUUCGCCUUGAGAACAUUGUUUCCCGUGAGGUGGCAGAUAGCGAUUUAUCAUUUGUGUGGAUCUCGAAGGUUUGUGCGGCAACAGUGCUGGAGCUCUGCGUUUGCUUAACAAUACCGAGAAUCACACAGAUGUAUUGUCUGUGGUUGUUUGGCUCAGAGGAUGGACACAGGGUUUGUUCAGCAACAUUUGCUGACAAAAACUCAAACCCUACAUGGUUCCUCUGUCAGGAGUCAAACCAACUUGGACAAUUGUAUCCCUGUGUGUGCAUUGAUAAGUCAACAUAAUAACUGCUGUUAAAAAGUUAGGAGUUUUAGACUUGACGUAAGUACAAACCCCUUCUCGCUAUUAGGCGCUUUUUAACGAACAAGCAUUGUUAAAACAUUAGUGAAAUCACUACGUUUUCACGUUGAGGUAUUAACACUUGUGAUAUGAAUGCAAUUCAUUUUACUGAUUACUGAAGACCGUUUGAAAGGUUAUAAAUUAAACGCGCGUCUGUGUAAUGUGUGUCAUUUGCAGCAGCAGCAGAGAAGAACACCAACAGAAGCCACAUGUCUUUGAGCAGGAUACACGAGUCUCGCAGGACAUCACAUACAUGUCAACAUGAUAUACUCAAUGAGUCAUUGUUACACGUUGUCACGGCUUUUGCAAGUUGCAGCUGCGGUGAGCGGGGGUCGCUGGGAAAGCAGUUCAGGUUGGGCAUCAUCCGAACACCUACCUGCACCUACCUGAGUUGUGUUGCUGACCAUGUCCGAUGCUUUAUGAACACAGCGAGUACUCAUCUUCUCAUGGCUACUUCUAGCAGGAUAACGCAUCAUGACAAAAAGCUCAAAUCAAUUCAAACAGGUUGAUCUCUGUGUCCUUAAGUGGACUCCACAGUCACUAGGUCUCAAUCAUUCAGCGAGCAGCUUUGAUAUGGGGCUGAAUGGGUGACGGGUCACGCUGUACCUAAUAAAGUGGCACAGUGAGUGUAUUUCACAUCUCUGCACCGUUGAACAGAGAAUAUUUUCAUAGCUCCUUUGUGCAUGUUCUCAUAAUUCACAGUCGUCUGCCAGAGCAACAGCCUAACACUCUGUAACACAUCAAAAAAAUCAAUGUGUGAUUUAUUUAUUCCUAAUGGAUGUUGUGUGUGUGUGUGUGUGUGUGUGUGCGCGCAUGUGCGUGUGUUGCUCACACAUUUGUACUUAGGAGGAGAGAGAUGGAGAGACAGAAAGGCACUUCAGCGAGAUUCAGUGUGCUCAGUCUGAUGACUAUUGGAUCAUCAGUUUUCAGGAGCGACUUUGAUGGUUUCAUCAAUGUACUGGUCAUGAUUGUACCCACAUGUGGAAUAAGCCAAUCCAUCACCGGUACAGAAUAGAUGCACACUGAUGCUGCUUAUCACACCUGGAAAUAACUGCUUGAAAUGAUCUGAUGCUGCUGCUUAUCACACUAACUGGAUCUGAGUUUGUGGUGUAAAA